rnacentral:tRNA from 1 species
GCCCGUCUAGCUCAGUCGGUAGAGCGCAAGACUCUUAAUCUUGUCGUGGGUUCGAGCCCCACGGUGGGCG